GACGUGAGGAACAAACCAAGAGAUCUUACUCAGGUUGAUUUUCGCCACGUCCUCAGGUUGAUUUUCGCCACGUCGUUGACGGCAGCAGCAGGAUGGCAUUGUCGUCCGAGUCGCGCACGAGUGACAAUUCGUGCUUGAAUCCAUACACAAUCUUGUUGUAAUCGUCUGCAAAGCCGAAAAUAUGUCUCAGGGGUAUGGUGAAUGAAAACGAUCCUUUGUUGGCGGGC
rnacentral:lncRNA from 1 species